GCCAGGGGUGGUGAUGUACCUGUGAUCCCAGAGACUGGGAGGCUGAGGCAGGAGGAUUGCCAAGUUCAAGGCCAACAUGGGCAAUUUAGCAAGACCCUGUCUCAA
rnacentral:sRNA from 1 species